rnacentral:rRNA from 1 species
ACUCCUACGGGAGGCAGCAGUAGGGAAUAUUGCACAAUCGACGAAAGUCCGAUGCAGCAACGCCGCGUGUGCGAUGAAGGCCUUCGGGUUGUAAAGCACUUUUAUGAGGGAAGAGAAAGGACGGUACCUCAGGAAUAAGUCUCGGCUAACUACGUGCCAGCAGCCGCGGUAAUACGUAGGAGGCAAGCGUUAUCCGGAUUCAUUGGGCGUAAAGCGCGUGCAGGUGGUUUGGUAAGUUGGGUAUGAAAUCUUCUGGCUUAACUAGGAGAGGUUGCUCAAAACUGUCAGACUAGGGGACGAUAGAGGAAGGUGGAAUUCCCGGUGUAGUAGUGAAAUGCGUAGAUAUCGGGAGGAACACCAGUGGCGAAGGCGGCCUUCUGGGUCGUUCCUGACACUAAGACGCGAAAGCAUGGGUAGCAAACGGGAUUAGAAACCCCGGUAGUCCAUGCCGUAAACGAUGUGAGCUUGAUGUCGGUGGCGUAAUAGUCAUCGGUGUCGUAGUUAACGCGGUAAGUUCACCGCCUGGGGAGUACGAUCGCAAGGUUAAAACUCAAAGGAAUUGACGGGGACCCGCACAAGCAGCGGAGCGUGUGGUUUAAUUCGAUGCUACACGAAGAACCUUACCUGGGCUUGACAUAUAAGUGGUAGGGAUCCGAAAGGUGACCGACCCCUCGGGGAGCUUAUACAGGUGCUGCAUGGCUGUCGUCAGCUCGUGCCGUGAGGUGUCCGGUUAAGUCCGGUAACGAGCGCAACCCUUGCCGUAUGUUACAUGUGUCAUGCGGGACUGCCGGUACAAAACCGGANGAAGGUGGGGACGACGUCAAGUCAGCAUNGNNCUUUAUGUCCAGGGCUACACACACGCUACANGGUCGGUACAAUGGGUAGCAAAGUCGCGANGC